rnacentral:misc_RNA from 1 species
AACUUUUGGCAACGGAUCACUUGGCUCUCGCAUCGAUGAAGAACGCAGCGAAAUGCGAUCAGUAAUGUGAAUUGCAGAAUUUAGUGAAUCAUUGAAUCUUUGAACGCACCUUGCGCUCCCUGGUAUUCCGGGGAGGACGCCUGUUCGAGUGUCGCGAAAUUUCUCAAGCUUGGAUGGCCUUUAUGUCUGUCCUUAGCCUUGGUUGUGGGGCUUUGCCUUGUCCUUCAUUGGGACGGCUGGCCUUAAAUGCAUUAGCUGAUCCUUGUGUGGCACUCGUUCUACUCAGCGUGAUAAUAGUCUGAUCGCUGAGGACAUCUUUCGGGAUGGCCAGUCCUCAUUUGGGUUGCUUCUAACCUUGGUGUUGCAAGUUAUUUCAAUCUGUAAUGCCACUUUUCAGCUUUGACCUCGAAUCAGGUGGGACUACCCGCUGAACUUAAGCAUAUCAAUAAGCGGAGGCU